AUUGAACGCUGGCGGCAUGCCUUACACAUGCAAGUCGAACGGCAGCACGGGUGCUUGCACCUGGUGGCGAGUGGCGAACGGGUGAGUAAUACAUCGGAACGUACCUUAUCGUGGGGGAUAACGCAGCGAAAGUUGCGCUAAUACCGCAUACGCCCUGAGGGGGAAAGCGGGGGACCGUAAGGCCUCGCGCGAUUAGAGCGGCCGAUGUCUGAUUAGCUUGUUGGUGAGGUAAAAGCUCACCAAGGCGAUGAUCAGUAGCUGGUCUGAGAGGACGAUCAGCCACACGGGGACUGAGACACGGCCCAGACUCCUACGGGAGGCAGCAGUGGGCAAUUUGGGACAAUGGGGGCAACCCUGAUCGAGCAAUGCGGCGUGAGUGAAGAAGGCCGUCGGGUUGUAAAGCUCUUUUGUCAGGGAAGAAACAGCAGCUCUAACACAGUCUGCGAAUGACGGUACCUGAAGAAUAAGCACCGGCUAACUACGUGCCAGCCGCCGCCGUAA
rnacentral:rRNA from 1 species